CCUACGGGAGGCUGCAGUGAGGAAUAUUGGUCAAUGGGCGGGAGCCUGAACCAGCCAAGUAGCGUGCAGGAUGACGGCCCUACGGGUUGUAAACUGCUUUUAUACGGGAAUAACGCGCCUUACGUGUAGGGCUUUGCAUGUACCUUAUGAAUAAGGACCGGCUAAUUCCGUGCCAGCAGCCGCGGUAAUACGGAAGGUCCGGGCGUUAUCCGGAUUUAUUGGGUUUAAAGGGAGCGUAGGCGGCAUGUAAAGUGAGCUGUGAAAUUUCCGGGCUCAACCCGGGCCUUGCAGCGGGAACGGGCGUGCUUGAGUGCGCGAAAAGUAGGCGGAAUUCGUGGUGUAGCGGUGAAAUGCUUAGAUAUGACGAAGAACCCCGAUUGCGAAGGCAGCUUGCUGGAGCGGAACUGACGCUGAUGCUCGAAAGCGUGGGUAUCGAACAGGAUUAGAUACCCGGGUAGUC
rnacentral:rRNA from 1 species